UAAUAAGUGUUUUAUGGCACUUUUUUAAAUCCAUAUCCACCUUGUGUGCAAUGUCAGUCGAUCUUCUUUAUGGAGACUGGCCAAACAUCAACCAUAUCUUUUAACUCUUUGUCUGAAAAAUAUUAUGAAUAAACAAUUCAAAAUA
rnacentral:misc_RNA from 1 species